AUUCCAUUAGUUGUCUCUAUGAAUAGUG
rnacentral:sRNA from 1 species